AGAGGAGAGGGUGGGCCAGUUAAGUGGACACUGCAACUCCUCACUUCAUAACUAUAAGCUUUAUCAAAGAGGAGAGUUUU